CGCGAGUCAAACAGGAAGCUGAGUAGCGGAUGUCAGAAAAGCACACCCCAGGAAAAUGACUGGAGUCUCAGCGUCGCUCGCCACUUAACGACGGCAGCAGAUGUGGCCCCCCCCUCGCCCGUUUUAAAACCGGGAAACCUCAGGGUCGAGUCAAGGGCUCAGGGGAGUCCCAGGCUGUGCGGGGUUACCUGAGACGUCCAGGUGCUCCAGGUUGGGGCAGCGG